UACGUAGGGUGCGAGCGUUAUCCGGAAUUACUGGGUGUAAAGGGUGCGUAGGCGGCCAUGCAAGUCAGAUGUGAAAACUCAGGGCUCAACCUUGAGGCUGCAUCUGAAACUGCGUGGCUAGAGUGUGGGAGAGGAAAGUGGAAUUCCGAGUGUAGCGGUGAAAUGCGUAGAGAUUCGGAGGAACACCAGUAGCGAAGGCGGCUUUCUGGACCAUAACUGACGCUGAGGCACGAAAGCGUGGGGAGCAAAC
rnacentral:rRNA from 1 species